CUAUACUGGCAGACUACAGGCUACAUACUAUACUGGCCGACUACAGACGACAUUCUAUACUGGCAGACUACAGGUUACAUACUUACUGGCAGACUACAUACUAUACUGGCAGACUACAGGCUUCAUAAUAUACUGGCAGACUACAGACUCUACUGGCAGACUACAGGCUACAUACUAUACUGGCAGACUAUAUACUAUACUGGCAGACUACAGGCUACAUACUAUAUUGGCAGACUAUAUACUAUAGUGGCAGACUACAGGCUACAUACUAUAUUGGCAGACUAUAUACUAUACUGGCAGACUACAGGCUACAUACUAUACUGGCAGACUACAGGCUACAUACUAUAUUGGCAGACUAUAUACUGUACUGGCAGACUACAGACUAUACUGGCAGACUGCAGGCUACAUACUAUACUGGCAGACUACAAGCUACAUAAUAUACUGGCAGACUAUAUACUAUACUGGCAGACUACAGACUAUACUGGCAGACUAUAUACUAUACUGGCAGACUACAGGCUACAUACUAUACUGGCAGACUAUAUACUAUACUGGCAGACUACAGGCUACAUACUAUAUUGGCAGACUAUAUACUAUACUGGCAGACUACAGGCUACAUACUACACUGGCAGACUAUAUACUAUACUGGCAGACUACAGGCUACAUACUAUAUUGGCAGACUAUAUACUAUACUGGCAGACUACAGGCUACAUACUACACUGGCAGACUAUAUACUAUACUGGCAGACUACAGGCUACAUACUAUAUUGGCAGACUAUAUACUAUACUGGCAGACUGCAGGCUACAUACUAUAUUGGCAGACUAUAUACUAUACUGGCAGACUACAGGCUACAUACUCUGCUGGCAGACUACAGGCUACAUACUAUAUUGGCAGACUAUAUACUAUACUGGCAGACUACAAGCUACAUACUAUACUGGCAGACUACAGGUGACAUACAAUAUUGGCAGACUACAUACUAUACUGGCAGACUACAGGCUACAUACUAUACCUGCAGACUACAUACUAUACUGGCAGAAUACAGUUUACAUACUAUACCGGCAGACUACAGACUACAUACUAUACUGGCAGACUUUAAGCUACAUACUAUACUGGCAGACUACAAGCUACAUAUUAUACUGGCAGACUGCAUACUGUACUGGCAGACUACAUACUAUACUGUAAGACUACAAACUAUUCUGGCAGACUACAGGCUACAUACUUUACUGGCAGGCUACAGACUACAGACGAUACAGGAAACAACAGACCGCAGGCUACAUGCUAAAGACUACAGGCUACAUACUAUUUCCUGGUUAAAUAAAGGUGAAAUAAAAUAAAUAAAGACUACAUGCUCCAUACUAUACAGGAAGAUUACUG
rnacentral:lncRNA from 1 species